AAUUUUUAUAGAAUACGUAAAAGAAUCGGGCCUUCACAGGACCUUCGUAUAUCCGAGCUUACUACUUUACUGAUGCCAUAUUGCACUGCGCAUGCCCGAAAAGCAGGCAGAUCUAACAACACUGCUCCCCAGAAGAGACCUCCGCGAAUCCUCCAUAAUACACGUGCGUCACGUGUGUGGAGUGGUGUGUGGAGCAUUCGUGACACUCGUUAUUUUGUAAAUAGACGAAAUUAUAUUCCCAAUUCGCGCCGAAUAACAAGCAAGGGGACAAUGAAGACACGGAGAUGGGAACAGCUGGAUGUACGAUUGAGCGAUCCCGUACUGAGGACGCUCAAGCAGUUGCGGUUUUUCCACACGACGCCAGUUCAGGCAGCUUGUAUACCGUUGUUAUUGAACGGCAAGGACGUUGCGGCGGAAGCGGUCACAGGCAGCGGCAAGACACUCGCUUUUCUUAUUCCUCUAUUGGAGAUAUUACAAAGGCGAGCUGAGAAAUGGAAGACCACGGAAGUAGGCGCGAUAGUGGUCAGCCCUACGAGAGAGCUGGCUACGCAGAUUAGUGAAAUUUUAGCCGAGUUCUUGGACAACAUUCCGUCGCUGAGGCAAGUUCUACUGGUGGGCGGUGUGUCGCUCAAGAGAGAUGCAGAGAAACUGAAGGAAGGGACGAAUAUUAUUGUCGCCACACCCGGUAGAUUGCAAGAUAUCUUGUCCAACUGUAAUUCCGUCAACUUGAAUCUAAAGUCUUUGGAAUUUCUCGUGCUGGACGAGGCAGAUAGAUUACUGGACUUGGGAUUCUCGGCGGCCUUGGAUAGUAUUUUAAGCUAUCUGCCGCGUCUCAGGAGAACGGGGCUGUUUUCGGCGACGCAGACGAAGCAACUGGAGCACUUGAUCAGGGCGGGACUGAGAAAUCCAGCGUUGAUCGUUGUGAAGGAAAAGUCCAAUGUCUCCACGCCUGUAAAUUUGAAAAAUAGUUUUGCAAUUGUCCAGCCUGAGUACAAGUUGCCGGUGAUGAUAGAUUUUAUACGCUCGAUAGGAUUUCAAACGAAGUAUAUGAUAUUCUUACCUACCUGCGCGUGCGUGGAUUACUUCAGCCGAGUUAUACAGACAUUAUUGCCCUCGAUCAACGUGCUCGCUCUACACGGUAAAAUGAAAAGCAAGAGGUAUAAAGUGUUCGAUAAAUUUCGACGUGCCGAAAAUGGCAUUUUAAUAUGCACAGACGUAAUGGCUCGUGGCAUCGAUAUAUCGGAAAUAGACUGGGUGUUACAAUACGACCCUCCGUCAAUGGCUAGCAGUUUUGUACACAGGUGCGGUAGAACCGCUAGGAUUGGUAACGAAGGAGACGCAUUGCUGUUUCUUCUGGAGACCGAGAGCGCGUAUGUUGAUUUCAUUAGAAGAAAUCAAAAGGUCGAACUGCGUGAAAUGGAAACAAAAUUGAACGAGGAUACUGUUGACGAAUGCUUGCGGUGUAUGAGGCUGAUGCAACAAAAGGAUCGACUUGUGUUCGACAAAGCCAACCGGGCCUUCGUCUCAUACGUACAAGCGUACAGUAAACACGAGUGCAAUUUGAUUCUUCAGUUAAAAGAUAUCGACUUGGGCAAGCUGGCUAUGGGCUUUGGUCUUUUGAGAAUGCCAAGGAUGCCAGAGCUCAAGGGGAAGAAUGUGUCAUCUUUCGUCGGCCCCGAGAUCGAUGUAAACGCGAUACCUUAUCUGCACGAGCAACGUGAAUUGCGUAGGAUUCAAAGACUGAGCGAAUAUCAGAACACUGGUGUUUGGACGAAUAAUCAUAGGUGCAAACAAAGGCGAACUGAAUCCUGGUCCGAGACCAAAAAGAGGAAACUCGAGAGGCGAGAGAAACGAGGUAAACGGAAGGAGAGGAAGGAAUUGAAACAACAGGUUUCAACGACUCGUAACAAAAAGAAGAGGAAGCGAAUAAAUGAGGAAGAUGUCGAGCAGUUGGCGAAAGAUAUAGCAUUAAUUAAGAAAUUUAAGAAGAAGAAGAUAUCGCAGGAAGAAUUUGACACGGCUUUCGAAAUCUGAAAUUAUUUGGCAUAAUUGCACGAGACAUCUCGAUCGAAAUUCCUUUGAUAAUUUCAUUGAGUUAAGGAUCUCGGAGAUGAUUCGCAUGUUAGAUUCGACACGAAGCUCGAACGUGCAAAUAAACGCAAGACUCGCUUCCGUA